GGGGGUUCCAGCAAUGCACACUCCAGUGACACGGUGCAGACAGGCUCCGGGUGGGAGUAAAGCAGCCGAGAUGGGGGUUGAGGAGGGACCUGGAAAUUCAGUCAGUGGCCUGUGUGAUCUCAGCCACACAGGCACACCCGCUGAUAUCCAGACGGGAGACAGUCCCCGACUGCUCUGCAGCUGGGAAGCCAGAGGAAGGCAGGCCACGAUGUCCAUGAACACACAGAUUAUUUGCCCUGAUCUUAUUAUACCCAAGAGCAGGCUAACGGAGGAGGCACCACUUGGGCUGCACCAAAGCAGCGUCUCUACUGUUUGUCUUGACAAAACAUCCUGUUGUUCUGACCCCGCAGCCUCAUGCGGUGACAGAUCUGCGUUAGUGAUCUGCUGAACGGCGCCAUGCAAAUGCCUGUAGAAUAACAAGAGCCUGUAGCCUACGACGCGCCGAUGACUGGAGGGUGCAGUCCGGAGUCUCGAGCGUAUUGGU